UUGGCUUCCCUUGGUGUGUCGAUAGAGGUCUGGAGGAACUGGGAUCAGCUGCCCGACGGAGCCUCCGGUGUGCCUGCCUCCCUGAAGGACCCCUUUGUGAAUGUGGAGAGGAAACAUGUUCCAUGCAGAUAGCAGAUUGGCAACGUCCCUGCUUCUUCUGAAGGCAGCAUGGUCUACAUGGAAGUCGAAUGAGAAUUCCCAGCAGAAUUUGAAGUAAAUCCUUAUUGCUGAAGAUUGACACAUACUUUGGACAAAGAACUUGGAUCUCACCUGGAAACCUCUAUCUUAAGGACUAGUUCUUGGUGCUGGAAGGUG